rnacentral:lncRNA from 1 species
AAAUUUAUUCCUCUCCAAGCCUUCAGGUAAAGAUUUAUUUACUGCUAAGACAGUUGCCAGUGAAGGGUAGGAGCUUGAUCAACUGAAAAGAAAUUGCAGGAUUCCUCUGUAUUAAACAUGCUCUGCUCUUCUAGUUUCACAAGAUGAGGUUCAUGAUAUACUUGAAACCCAUUUCCUAAAAUGGAUCUUGAAUCAGAUAAUUGAAUCCAACUCAUUAAUGAAUGUGAAGAUAAAUCAUUGAUCUGGUCUUUAAUGGUUCCAUGAAAAUUGUUAUUGUCACUCAAUUCGUGGCUCUGGCUUUGCACUGAAAAAUUGUUCUCUGACUCUGAAACAGGGCACUCUUCUUUGACAGAGUGACUGCUAUCUGCAUUUUCUUCUCUUAGCUUCGCUUUCAAUUCCUUUACCUAAAAUUCAGGAACCAAACAAGAAAAUUUUGAAAAAAUAAUUCUAAGGUAGAAUUAUAAUUAAAAAAAUUGAUACUUUAUUGGCAACAAUACCUGUUGAUUUAAAGAUUCAUUCUCUUUUUCAAUAUUACUGUAGUUAAGUUUUAAAGCUUCAUAAUCAGCUUUAAGUACUUCAUAAUCUCUCUCUAAUUGCUUAGUUUUCCAACGAGCACGGCGAUUUUGGAACCAAAUGGCUACUUGUCUUGGUUGCAGGCCUAAUUCCUCUGCUAAUCUCAGCUUUCUCUCUGGCUCAAGCUUGUUUUCAACUUCAAAAUUCUUCUCCAAGGCCUUAACUUGAUCAAGAUUUAACCUUCUUUUCUUCUCUGUAGUGGUAUGAAUGGCUUCCUCAGCGUAAUCUUCUUCUUCUAGACUAUCUAACAUUGCUUGAAACUCUCUAGUGUAUCCUUGAUUUGAUUUUUGAGACUUCAUCUCUGUUUUUAACAGGGUUUGAAAUAUAAAAUGACGUUUAUGAGCUUAAUUAUGAUAUAAUUAUGCUUUCAAUAACAAGUUGUAUCGUUGUUUACCUUUGGAAGGAGGAGAAAUGGAGAAUAUAUCAGCAAAUGAAUCGGAGGAACUGAACCGCUUCAUAGUUGGAACUCGAAAUCAAGAAAUCAAGAAAAGACCUUGUGUUAC